AUUCAAAUAGCUUAUUAGAGUACAAUAUUGAAGAUAUUGAGGUGAUUAAUUAAUCUUUGAGUA
rnacentral:tRNA from 1 species